rnacentral:rRNA from 1 species
AUUGAACGCUGGCGGCAUGCCUUACACAUGCAAGUCGAACGGCAGCACGGGAGCAAUCCUGGUGGCGAGUGGCGAACGGGUGAGUAAUAUAUCGGAACGUGCCCAGUCGUGGGGGAUAACGCAGCGAAAGCUGUGCUAAUACCGCAUACGAUCUACGGAUGAAAGCGGGGGAUCGCAAGACGUCGCGCGGUUGGAGCGGCCGAUAUCAGAUUAGCUAGUUGGUGGGGUAAAGGCCCACCAAGGCGACGAUCUGUAGCUGGUCUGAGAGGACGACCAGCCACACUGGAACUGAGACACGGUCCAGACUCCUACGGGAGGCAGCAGUGGGGAAUUUUGGACAAUGGGCGCAAGCCUGAUCCAGCAAUGCCGCGUGCAGGAUGAAGGCCUUCGGGUUGUAAACUGCUUUUGUACGGAACGAAACGGCCCUUUCUAAUACAGGGGGCUAAUGACGGUACCGUAAGAAUAAGCACCGGCUAACUACGUGCCAGCCGCCGCAGUAA